rnacentral:rRNA from 1 species
GAUAGGAGACAAGAGGCAUCUUCUUGUUUUUAAAAGACCUAGCAAUAGGUAUGCUUAGGGAGGAGCUUGCGUCACAUUAGUUAGUUGGUGGGGUAAAGGCCUACCAAGACUAUGAUGUGUAGCCGGGCUGAGAGGUUGAGCGGCCCCAUUGGGUUCGACCCCCGGCCCCAAUUUCUACGGGAGGCACCCAUAGGGAACUUUCGGCAAAGGAGGAAACUCUGACCGAGCAACGCCGGGUGAACGAUGAAGUAUUUCGGUACGUAAAAUUCUUUUAUUAGGGAAGAAUAAAUGAUGGAAAAAUCAUUCUGACGGUACCUAAUGAAUAAGCCCCGGCUAACUAUGUGCCAGCAGCCGCGGUAAUACAUAGGGGGCAAGCGUUAUCCGGAAUUAUUGGGCGUAAAGGGUGCGUAGGCGGUUAAAUAAGUUUAUGGUCUAAGUGCAAUGCUCAACAUUGUGAUGCUAUAAAAACUGUUUAGCUAGAGUAAGAUAGAGGCAAGUGGAAUUCCAUGUGUAGUGGUAAAAUGCGUAAAUAUAUGGAGGAACACCAGUAGCGAAGGCGGCUUGCUGGGUCUUUACUGACGCUGAGGCACGAAAGCGUGGGGAGCAAACAGGAUUAGAUACCCUGGUAGUCCACGCCGUAAACGAUGAGUACUAAACGUUGGGUAAAACCAGUGUUGAAGUUAACACAUUAAGUACUCCGCCUGAGUAGUACGUACGCAAGUAUGAAACUUAAAGGAAUUGACGGGACUCCGCACAAGCGGUGGAUCAUGUUGUUUAAUUCGAAGGUACCCGAAAAACCUCACCAGGUCUUGACAUGCUUCUGCAAAGCUGUAGAAACACAGUGGAGGUUAUCAGUUGCACAGGUGGUGCAUGGUUGUCGUCAGCUCGUGUCGUGAGAUGUUGGGUUAAGUCCCGCAACGAGCGCAACCCUUAUUGUUAGUUACCAGCACGUAAUGGUGGGGACUUUAGCAAGACUGCCAGUGAUAAAUUGGAGGAAGGUGGGGACGACGUCAAAUCAUCAUGCCCCUUAUGACCUGGGCUACAAACGUGAUACAAUGGCUGUUACAAAGGGUAGCUGAAGCGCAAGUUUUUGGCGAAUCUCAAAAAAACAGUCUCAGUUCGGAUUGAAGUCUGCAACUCGACUUCAUGAAGUUGGAAUCGCUAGUAAUCGCGAAUCAGCAUGUCGCGGUGAAUACGUUCUCGGG